GAUGAACGCUGGCGGCGUGCCUAAUACAUGCAAGUCGAGCGAACGGACGAGAAGCUUGCUUCUCUGAUGUUAGCGGCGGACGGGUGAGUAACACGUGGAUAACCUACCUAUAAGACUGGGAUAACUUCGGGAAACCGUAGCUAAUACCGGAUAAUAUUUUGAACCGCAUGGUUCAAAAGUGAAAGACGGUCUUGCUGUCACUUAUAGAUGGAUCCGCGCUGCAUUAGCUAGUUGGUAAGGUAACGGCUUACCAAGGCAACGAUGCAUAGCCUACCUGAGAGGGUGAUCGGCCACACUGGAACUGAGACACGGUCCAGACUCCUACGGGAGGCAGCAGUAGGGAAUCUUCCGCAAUGGGCGCAAGCCUGACGGAGCAACGCCGCGUGAGUGAUGAAGGUCUUCGGAUCGUAAAACUCUGUUAUUAGGGAAGAACAUAUGUGUAAGUAACUGUGCCCAUCUUGACGGUACCUAAUCAGAAAGCCACGGCUAACUACGUG
rnacentral:rRNA from 1 species